rnacentral:lncRNA from 1 species
UCAAAUUUGCUGAGCUUACAUUAGACGUCUAUAGAAUGAUACAAUGUUUAGAAUGGGAGCCUAGUGGAUCAUUCUACCAAAAACGUAUAGUUAGACCUAAGGAGAAUGGUGACAUGAUUGAUCAUUCAGGAGCUUCUGGGAUAAUAGACAUGAACCUUGCUGCAGAUAUGACAGAUCCAACUAUACCUUCUAAUCCUACAAAGGCUACCUUGUAUCGUCCAUCUGUGACACACGUGAUAGCAGUGAGUUACUGAGUUUUUAUGCCUAGUUGACAGUUAUUAUAUCUAGUUCGAUCUUCUCUUUGCUAAAAUUGAUAAGCUGAAUGAGAUUUUUAUGGCUUUUCCUUUCACAAGAUUUGGACAUCUAAAUCUGUUUUUAGCAUGUUUUGUUGGUUCUACUCUAUAUUAUAAUAUGUUCUCAUGUCUAUUUGUCCAUACUUGCGUCACCUUUUUUGUUUUGUUUCAGUCAUGUAUGAUUUGAUCUAUAAACCGCUGCGAAAAUGAUCACUUGUUAAAUACGGCUGCUGAUAUCCUUCGGUUCACAAUCUUCCAGUCACUGUAGUGAUUUGUUAUUUCAUACAUUGAACUUAUGCUGUAUGCAGGUUAUGGCAACAAUUUGUGAGGAGCUGCCACCAGACAGCGUUGUGCUAGUAUAUCUUUCAGCCUCAGGUUUACAUUUGAUCCAACUUUUCAAGUUUAAAUAAUCAGUCUAUAGGUCACACUAUUUUAUGUUAGGUUCGUUGCCUUAAUUACCUGUGAUCACUCGUACAGGGAAGGCUGGUGUUAAUAAUGGAGGGUCAUCCAAAUAUUCAAGACACAAAGCACUUUCUCAGUCUUCCGACGAAUUGAACUCUGGAAUGUCAGAAUCUCUAAAUAAUGGCAAGAGGGAAUCAAGUUGUCAUCAUGACAAUUAUCUGUGGUUUGGUUCCAAGGGAAAUAGUGGUGGGUACCUGUGUUAAAGUCUUUUCCCUGUCAAAUUUAUGUUAAGUUUGUUCCAGGAAAACUUAUGCAAAUUCUAAUAUGUUUUUCUUGCCUUUUUUGGGUUAGUGUCAAUUUGUAUGUUAUAAAAGGAACGAGUACCUUUGUUGUGGCUGCACUGACAUAUGCUGUAUUUGAAUUAUCAGGUUCAAAUAACCUCUACCCCGGCGAUCUUAUUCCAUUCACUCGGAAACCUCUUUUCUUGAUUAUCGAUAGUGAUAACAGCCAUGCAUUCAAGGCAGGUUUGUCCAAACUUGUGUAUGUGUUUCCUGGAAACUGUCAGAUGGAGUUUUUCCGUAUAUUCUGGAAAUCUAAUUUUCUAUGUAAUUGGCAUGAUGAAGUUAGUGAUUAGUUUGUUUCUGCAUGUAAUUGGCAUGAUGAAGUUGUGUAAAGACUAUUAAGUUAUUAAAUGGCGUUGUUAUCAUUCCCUGUGUAGCUACAAAAAGAAUGAGAAGCAUAUCACAUUUUUGGCUUAAGGGUGACUCUGUACUAGUUUAUAGGGGGAGCUGGCUUGUCCCAUGUUCGAUGUGUAGUGAAAUUAAUGGGAUCAUUAAUUAUAAGAUGCUGUUUUACCGGUGUUAUUUACGUACCUGUCUUAUUUAUUCUAUAAUAAAUGAUUGCAGGAAUUACAUGGUGCUGAAAGGGGAGAGACGGCUGCUAUAUUUCUUUCACCUUUAAGGCCGAUUUUUAAGAACCCAGCUGAUGUAAAUGUACAUAAUGGAAGCCAAUUUACCUUUUUCUUGACAGCUCCUUUAUCAGCAUUUUGUCAAAUGAUUGGUCUCAUCCCUAAUGAGUCUGAUACAGUAAGUAUACACAAAUGAUCUUUAAACUUCCUCAAAUCAACUGUAACUCUAGUUGGUCUAAUUUGACAUGUUAACCCUAUAGGAUGUCUACAAUGAAGCUGAGAACAUAAUUGCCAAUGCUUUCUCUGAGUGGGAAGUAAUUCUUUGCUCAUCAACUAUCAUGGAUUUAGUAUGGGCACAAGUUAUAACCGAUCCAUUUUUAAGGCGACUUAUUUUAAGGUAUUUGACCUGUAGUUUUUGUUUAAUGAAUUGGCCGAUGUAUUCAUUUAUUUUGAUUGGUAAUUGAUUUUGUAGAAAGUCAUAGUUGCAGUUGACUGCCACCUACUUUUUUGGGCAUUAUUAAAAUUGAAGUUACUGAUUGGAAUUGUGGUGCAUUUUUAUCUACAGAUUCAUAUUCUGCCGGGCCGUGAUAUCUUUUUUCUGCCCGCCCGAGGAAAGUGAAUUACAUCUGCCACUUUGCCUACCCCAUCUACCUGCUUAUGUUGCACCAAAUUCUGAAGCUGUGCGCUCCGUGGUCGUGCAACUUGCCAAGCACUUUGAUGUUGCUGACUCCUUUCACUUUACUAAUACAUAAGAUUUGGACAUUAUAUGCAACAAGUAAAUUGUUAGAUUUAAAUGCAGGCUUUUGAAGCUAAAGAUUCUCUGACCAAAGGAAUAUAAAAUAUAUGGGUUAACCUUUUGGGUGACAUAACAAGAAUAUCAAUGGUGGGACUUAGGCUGUCAUGUGGAGGAUCGAUUUGUUUGGUGUUGGUUGCAUCUGGUUGUUAUGUUGCUUAAUCGACCCCACCCGCUUCAUUGAAUCCAUAUGCUGUAUUUGGCGGUUUGCUCUGUAGUGUUAAAAAGGUUAGGUCGUGAUGGGUGCUGGCAAGAUAAUUGUUGGGUGAGAGUUAGUUGUAUUUGUUCAUAUUUCAUAGUUUUUUUCGGUGGUUUAUAUUUCAUUGCUUUGAAAGAGAACAAACAGGAAGUUGUUCAUAUUUCAUACCUUUGUUUAGCAGAACGGUUUUUGAAACAUUGAUUGGAGAGAGGAUGUAUUUAUGAGAAGAACGAAUUCUGUCAAUACUCGAAAGAAAAUAAGCUCACAAUAUUGUAUGAGACCCUUUUUUUUGACACAAUAACAGUAUGAGACUGAAAGCUGGAGGGGUUAACGUUAUAAAAAAAAAUGAUCACAAAAAAAGAAUGGUUAGGGAUUAACGAAUCAACAGAAAAGAAGAAGAAAUAAAUGCUCAACUUUGUGAGAAAUUCUUGCAUGCAUACUCCCUUAACAACACACUCUUACACACAACCAAGUAAAAUAUUACAUCUCAUAAAAUUAAAAUAAAUAAUAUCAAAUUCAUUAUUGUUAAAGGUUCUCUCUUUCUUCUACCAAAAAAAAAAAGGUUCUCUCUUUCUCCAAUCUCCACUUUCUUUAACCGAUCACACAACCCUCAAAACCAUUGCACCCAGCAACCCACUAAGCAUCACCACCGCCCCCAUUAUAAUUGUUUCUUCACAAAACAUUAUCCCUUAAAAGUUAAAUAACAACAAAAGUUAGUAGUAGAGCUUAUUUAUUUGAAAGGAAAUGCCAUUUAUGCAUUUGCAGUUGCUUUGUGUAAUGUUGAUAGAGUGUACAGCUUAUCCUGAGUCCUGACAUCAAUUCUUGCUUACUAGCACCUGACAAAAUGCUUCAUCAGAAUUGAGAAUCUAAUGUAAAACUUGAAAAUCAUUACUUAGCCACUAAAAUUUCGAAAACAGAAGCAAAGACUGAUGUUUGCAAGGAUGUGGUGAAAUGAAAAGAAGACUGGACAUAAUUUCAAUUCAUCGAAUAAAAAAACUUACCCAAUUCUUUCCACUCAUGGAAUAGAGGUAUGGCUACAAUCCUUUGAUCAUGACUGUACAAAAAUGGAUAAUUAAUGGUUUUAAGAGAAACAUAAUAUGAAAUGUUUUUGUUUAAACAACUAAAUAUAUUAAAACACACUCUUAAACAAGCACAAGAUGUGCUGAAAAGAGGCAAGGAAAGUACAAUAUUACAAUAAAGCCAAAAGGCCAAAAGCUAGGAAAUGCAAGUGGAAGUCACAAUCAGACCACAACAAAAACAACCCCAUCACACAACCUAACAUAAAACCGNNNNNNNNNNNNNNNNNNNNNNNNNNNNNNNNNNNNNNNNNNNNNNNNNNNNNNNNNNNNNNNNNNNNNNNNNNNNNNNNNNNNNNNNNNNNNNNNNNNNNNNNNNNNNNNNNNNNNNNNNNNNNNNNNNNNNNNNNNNNNNNNNNNNNNNNNNNNNNNNNNNNNNNNNNNNNNNNNNNNNNNNNNNNNNNNNNNNNNNNNNNNNNNNNNNNNNNNNNNNNNNNNNNNNNNNNNNNNNNNNNNNNNNNNNNNNNNNNNNNNNNNNNNNNNNNNNNNNNNNNNNNNNNNNNNNNNNNNNNNNNNNNNNNNNNNNNNNNNNNNNNNNNNNNNNNNNNNNNNNNNNNNNNNNNNNNNNNNNNNNNNNNNNNNNNNNNNNNNNNNNNNNNNNNNNNNNNNNNNNNNNNUGAAAUGAAAAGAAGACUGGACAUAAUUUCAAUUCAUCGAAUCAAAAAACUUACCCAAUUCUUUCCACUCAUGGAAUAUGGCUAUGAUCCUUUGAUCAUCACUAUACAAAAAUGGAUAAUUAAUGGUUUUAAGAGAAAGCAUGAUAUGAAAUGUUUUUGUUUAAACAACUAAAUAUAUUAAAACACACUCUUAAACAAGCACAAGACAUGCUGAAAAAAGGCAAGGAAAGUACAAUAUUACAAUAAAGCCAAAAGGCCAAAAGCUAGGAAAUGCAAGUGGAAGUCACAAUCAGACCACAACAAAAACAACCCCAUCACACAAGCUAACAUAAAACCGUUAGUAGAGACACCAAAUAACCCCAAAUACACAUGACCUGAUCUCCUAAAUUGAAAAAGCUAGCAACAAAAUCACCGAACUGUCAUGACAGAAAAACAACAGCAGUGGCAGAACAACAGAGGUAGGAAGAAUAUUGCGCACCUAUUAAUUUCCUUAUAAAGAAAAGCAGUGGUAGCAGCAACUGCCGUUGAACAAAUUGCGAUGAUGCAAUUUCCAGCUUUUCCCAUCACAAACCACAACACACAACCUGCACAAAAUGUUGAAGACGGUAAACAAUGGUUCUUCUAAUGUUUGAAUUUUCAGGCUUCCUUGUGGUGCCAAUCUAAGGUUUUGAAAAAUCAAUUUGUGUAGUGCUGAAGUUUCAUAAUCAAAGGCUUCUCUCCUAUUGUAUAUUUGUAUUUAUAUACCGAGAUACAUCAUCUUAUCAACAAAUAACAAAUAGUAAAGUUACGAAAUCCACCAUUUGAAUAAGCAUUUCAAGAUUGAACUUAAAACAUCAUCCAAAUCAUAACAAGGAAAUAAUUGAACACAAAAAACGAAAUUAAAAUUAAACUGAAUCGCACUCCAAACAAACUAAGAAUUCGAACUUAAUGAUUAUUCACAUGAUAAGCAACCCUAGAGAAAGUGAAAAUGAAGAAUUCAGAAACUGAAGAUAAUAAUCGGACAUUGUAUUAUUAAAUAUUACACAUAUAAAUGAACAACGGGUGUACACAGUAUACAAGCAGUGAUCACACAUCAAGGGAGGUGACAUACAUCCAUAUUAUGAGGGGAUCACAUAUUGAACUUUAUUCUAAAGGUUGAUAUAUUAUUAGUUUACCUUUGCAAACUCCAAAAGUUGAGACCAUGUAUCCCUAGAUAUUGCUUCGUUAUGCCGAGCCUGAGUAAGUAGUAGUGAAAUUUUCAAUUUGAAGUAAAAUAAACCAGCAUUAUCAUACUAACAAGAAAGCUUCUAACAUACAAAAGUGAAGAUAAUUAGGGUUAUUACCUGCAGGAAUUGGCACCAAUGAUCAACCAGUGGCCACUACUUCUCAGCAAAUAAUAAUUGCCACAUUCCAAUAGCUGUAUCCAAAGCCAGAGAUUUCUGACCCUGCAAGAAAUUAACUUGCAUAUUAAUAUUGCAUAGUAACAGGUGACAUUAUAGAUUUUAGAUAAAGAGAGGAGAGAAAUAAUAAAGACUUAAAUAUAGUUCUAAUUUAUGAUCAAUAAUCACACAGUACUAUCCCCAAUUUAUAGAUACACGAUUUCUAAAAAAGGGUCCAAUAGAUAAGCGAUUUCUAAUCCUAAUGGAACAGGGAAAUAAAUUUAAAUAUAGUUCUCUUUUGCCCUUCAACAUAUAUAAUUUCAGAUCUUCUUCAGUAAUCAUUGUAGAUAAUUUCUAAUGAUAAAUGAAUAAAAAAACUGUAUGAUGAAAUUUAAUUUACAGCCAUAAUCUGAAAUGCUAUUGUCCUUACGUUCAUCUUUCAGCUCACAGCGCAUAGAUGGUAUCUUUUCACGGAACUUGUCCAGCGAAUCAACCCUGCAAUAAUAUUAUAAGACCUUCAACGUGGAUUCAGUCAUUACAGAAACAUAUUUUGUUUCAAAGUUACUAUAAAAUUCAUACCCAAAGAUUGUAAGCCGGCCUUCAUCAUAGUGCCGGCCUUCAUGUGCCAUGAAAGAACUAACGGCAAAAAUGUAAACAUCCCUAGUUACAUAAAGCCUUCCUAUGGGUCCACACAUAUCUGUAACUUGGAUGAUAACAGUUCAAACAUUUUGCUGAAGUUUGAUUCAUAUGACAAUGUUAUAGGAAAAAACAGUAAAUAACCAUGCAAUCAUCCAUGAUCUAAAAAUGAAACAAUCUUAAAAAACACGUUCAUACCAUUACUAUGUCUUGAGGAUCCACCUGCACAUGACAAAAACAUCAAUUACACUUUGAAUUAAUAACCUUCUGAAUGAACCAAAACUCAAACAUUGGAAACGUAAACAAGAGAAUAAAACAUCUGAAGUCCAUAAGAUGUAAACAACUUAUACAACAAUAGUUGACAAGACCUAUGAAACAGAGAUGAUCAAAUAUGCAUGAACAUGGUGCCAGUUAUCAGGAUCAUGGCUGACAUCAAUAUUAUUUUAAAUGGAAAAUUUUAAUAUAUAGCUUCUAUAGAGUAUAAACCUAAAAAUUUAAAAACAUCAAUCAAAACAAUAAUAUAACACAAAAGUAAAAACACAUAAAUUAAAUAUGGGUCAUGCUAACCGGUGCCUCCGGGCACUGGUUAAGGAAACCAAAAACAGAAAGUUUUGAAAAGAAAAAAAUACUUUUUAAACUUUCGAGGAGUUGACUGCACAAACUCUAAUGUCAAAUUACUAUUUUUGCAUUUUCCAUUAAAUAUAUAAAAUUAAAGAUUCACUUGCAAUAACUCUUCCAAAUCAUGUAUUGUGACAAAAACACUAACACCUUGAGUUCACAAAUAUCAAAUACAAUACAACAUGUAAUUAAACAAAGGCUUAUAAACCCAAAAGAAAACUCACGCAGACCAACCCAAAACGCAUUCUUCCUAUCACCAAAUACACAUAACAUAAUUACCCCAAAGAUGAAGCUCAAGCAACAACUUCGUGAAGCCAUAGAUUUUCUGUUCACUCGCGGUCCUGCUUCUUCUGCUGACUACACUCGUCUUGUUCUUCACUGUGCUCGAUCCAAUGACUUCAAUCAAGCCAAGAGAUUACAGUCUCACAUGGAACUUCAACUUUUUCAACCCACUGACUCGUUCAUCCAUAACCAACUCCUCCAUUUAUAUGCCAAAUGUGGCAAACUCUCAGAUGCUCAACAACUGUUUGAUAAAAUGCCUAAGAGGGAUAUUUAUUCUUGGAAUGCAUUACUUUCUGCUUAUGCUAAGGUGGGUUCGUUGGAGGAUUUGAAUGUCGUUUUUGAUCAAAUGCCUUGUCGUGAUUCUGUUUCAUAUAACACAUUGAUUACUUGUUUUGCAAGUAAUAGGCUUUCGAGUAAAGCAUUGAGUUUUUUUGUGAGAAUGCAGGAAAAUGGGUUUCAGCCUACUCAGUAUUCUUACGUGAAUGCGUUGCAAGCGUGUUCUCAGCUUUUGGAUUUUAGGCUUGGGAAACAAAUUCAUGGGAGAGUUGUUGUUGGUGAGUUUGAGAAAAAUACUAUUGUUUGGAAUGCUGUGACUGAUUUGUAUGCUAAGUGUGGUGAUAUAGAUAGAGCACGGUGGUUGUUCGAUGGAAUGGUUAAAAAGAAUGUGGUUUCGUGGAAUGUUAUGAUCUCUGGGUAUGUGAAAAUGGGAAACCCUGAUGAGUGCAUUCAUUUGUUUAAUAAGAUGCAAUUAUUUGGUUUGAAACCUGACCAAGUUACAGAUUCUAAUGUUCUAAAGGCGUACUUUCAAUCUGGACGUGUAGAUGAUGCACGGAAUAUGUUUAGUAAAGUAGCCAAAAAGGAUGAGAUUUGUUGGACUACGAUGAUAGUUGGUUAUGCGCAAAGUGGAAGAGAGGAAGAUGCUUUGAUGUUGUUUAAUGACAUGCUUCGUGGAAACGCUAGACCUGACAGCCACACCAUUUCUAGUGUUGUAAGCUCUUGUGCCAAGUUAGCAUCUUUAUAUCACGGUCAGGGUGUCCAUGGAAAAGUUAUUCUUAUGGGUGUUGAUAGUAACAUGCUUGUAUCAAGUGCACUAGUUGAUAUGUAUUGCAAGUGUGGAGUCCCUUUUGAUGCUCGCGUAAUUUUCGAAACUAUGCCUAUUAGGAACGUGAUCACUUGGAAUUCAAUGAUUUUGGGUUAUGCACAAAAUGGGGAGGCUCAGGAGGCCUUGGCUCUGUAUGAAAGAAUGCUGCAAGAAAAUUUCAAACCUGACAAUAUUAGUUUUGUGGGUGUCUUAUCUGCUUGUAUCAAUGCUGAUAUGGUUAAAGAAGCAUGCAAGUAUUUCGAUUUGAUCAGUGAACACGGAAUGACACCGACGUUGGAUCAUUAUGCAUGUAUGAUUACUCUCUUUGGUCGGUCAGGUAAUAUUGACAAAGCGGUGGAUUUAAUUAAUGGUAUGCCGCACAAACCAGAUCACCAGAUUUGGUCCGCUUUACUAUCUGUUUGCUCCAAGGACAACAUAAAGACUGCAGAAUUUGCAGCUAAUAAUCUCUUUCAACUGGAACCACAUAAUGCUGGACCUUAUAUCAUGCUUUCAAACUUGUAUGCUGCUUGUGGAAGAUGGAAAGAUGUAGCUGUUGUAAGGUCUCUUAUGAAGGAAAACAAUGCAAAGAAGUUUGCUGCAUACAGUUGGGUUGAGGUUGAGAAUGAACUCAACCGAUUUGUUUCUGAUGAUCACAAUCAUCCAGAAGUGGAAAGAAUCAAUGGUGAAUUGAAUAGAUUGAUUGUAAAAUUGCAACAAAUUGGGUAUAAUCCAGAUACACGCAAUGUUCUACAUAAUGUGGGAGAGGAAGAAAAAUUGAGAUCCAUCUCGCACCACAGUGAGAAACUUGCUCUUGCGUUUUCUUUAAUUAAAAAAACCAAGGGUAUUGCACCAAUACGGAUCAUAAAAAAUAUACGUAUCUGUGAUGACUGUCAUGUAUUUAUGAAGUUUGCAUCAAUUGCUAUAGCUCGGCAAAUCAUUAUAAGAGAUUCAAGUAGGUUUCAUCAUUUCAUUGAUGGAAGGUGUUCUUGCAAAGACCAUUGGUAGAGUCUCAAUCUGAUGGUAAACAUCUGUGCUCUGAAUGAGAUUUUUAUGGCUUUUCCUUUCACAAGAUUUGGACAUCCAAAUCUGUUUUUAGCAUGCUUAAUCUAUAUUAUAAUAUGUUCUCAUGUCUAUUUGUUCAUACUUGCAUCAUUUUUUAUUUUUUUGGUUUCAGUCAUGUAUGAUUUGAUUUAUCCUUUGGCAUCACUUGUUAAAUAUGGCUGCUCAUAUCCUUUGGCACACAAUUUUCCAAUCACCGUUGUGAUUUGUUAUUUCGUACAUUGAGCUUCAUGCUGUAUGCAGGUUAUGGCAACUACGUGUAGAGGAUACUUGAUUUAUUUCGUACAUUGAUUUGUUAUGCUCAACUCUCUUUUAACUAAAAUGAAUUCAUUCAAAAUCAAUUUUUGUCAUCACGAAAACCAAACACACAGUCUGUAAUUUUCAUCUGUAAACAAUUAGAAAUAGAACAGUUUUUUUUCUUUCUUUACAAUUGAAUUAGGACAGUUUUAUGUUUAUACAAUAGAGGAAAACAAUGAUUUGAUGCAUAUAGUCGAUAUGUCUUGGUCGCUAUUGGUAUCAAAUAGAAUGCAGGGUGGUUAAUUCCAUAUCAUAGUAAUGUUAUGUUUGUUUCGUUGAUUAAUGUUGUUGAUAGUGCACGAGGUCUCUACUAAUAAGUGAAAUCAGUAAUAUCUAGUUUAACGAUUAAGGGUUUAAAACAAACAGAUUGAAAAGUUUGCAUACGUUAAAUAGUUAGAUUGGAUGACUGUCUUAGUCGUUUUUGCUUUAGUCGCUAGUUUUUCUUUUGGUACACCUGACUGUUGUAUGAACUAUGAAGGAUACUAAUGCUGUUGUAGAGUAGGUUACGCCAAGGUUAUUGGAGAUACUUCAGUUUGACUGUAUCAAAUGGUGAUUUUUUUUAAGAAAAUGGCCUCCCGUCGUAAAACCAAAUCAAUUCUUGAGUUACCUGAGUUUCAAGUAGUACUCUACUAUGUUGUACUGAAUGUGAGGGCCAGUUUUCCAGAAUAACAUUGUUGGUGCAAUGAUGAUUUUCUUUGAAAAACCUAUUUGCAUAUAGGCAUCAUAUAUUUUGACCAUCAAUUUGUUGAAAUUUAAACGUGAGGUUAUUGUUUCGGAUUUGAAAGUUAAGCUACCGCUUCUCAAUCUGAGUGUGCUGUGUAUACUUCAUUGAUGCUUUGUAUUUAACUAUUUAUCCAGGGAAGGAAAUAUCUUUGUAUUGUUUGUUUGACUUGAUGAGUAUAAACGAUUUCUUUUCAGGAUACUAACUUUAAAGAAAUAUCUUUGUAUUGUUUGUUUGACUUGAUGAGUAUAAACGAUUUCUUUUCAGGAUACUAACUUUAAAUCGUUUAUACUCAUCAAGUCAAACAAACAAUCUGAGUGUGCUGUGUAUACUUCAUUGAUGCUUUGUAUUUAACUAUUUAUCCAGGGAAGGAAAUAUCUUUGUAUUGUUUGUUUGACUUGAUGAGUAUAAACGAUUUCUUUUCAGGAUACUAACUUUAAAGAAUGGAAACAAGUGGUGCAAGAAAUUGUCCGCUUCACAAAAGCAGAUAUGGACUUUAGCUUUUGGCCUAUGCGUUAUUGUGCUACAUUUGAUUCUCAUCAGGCUUCUCUUCCUUAUGUGGCUCGUUUUCAUGCAAAAAGGGUUUUAAAAUUUCACGAUGCACUCUUAGCAAGCUAUCAUCGAAAUGAGGUCAAUACUUGCGAAGUUCUUAAAUUUGUGUUAAUAAAUAAUUUUAGUUUGAAAGGCACUGAAGCUUUUGAAUCUUCAUAUACCCUCCAUUUCAGGUCAAAUUUGCUGAGCUUACAUUAGACGUCUAUAGAAUGAUACANNNNNNNNNNGAGCUUCUGGGAUAAUAGACAUGAACCUUACUGCAGAUAUGACAGAUCCAACUAUACCUUCUAAUCCUACAAAGGCUACCUUGUAUCGUCCAUCUGUGACACACGUG